AGGACGAACGCUGGCGGCGUGCUUAACACAUGCAAGUCGAGCGGUAAGGCCUUUCGGGGUACACGAGCGGCGAACGGGUGAGUAACACGUGGGUGAUCUGCCCUGCACUUCGGGAUAAGCCUAGGGAAACUGGGUACUAAUACCGGAUAUGACCUCCUAUCGCAUGGUGGGUGGUGGAAAGAUUUAUCGGUGCAGGAUGGGCCCGCGGCCUAUCAGCUUGUUGGUGGGGUAAUGGCCUACCGAAGGCGACGACGGGUAGCCGACCGUGAGAGGGUCGACCGGCCACGACGUGGGACUGAGACACGGCCCAGUACUCCGUACGGGGAGCCAGGCGAGGUGGGGAAUAGUUGGACAC
rnacentral:rRNA from 1 species